rnacentral:tRNA from 1 species
GGGAAUGUGGCUUAGUGGUAGAGUGCUUGCCUAGCAUGCAUGAAGCCCUGAGUUCAAUUCCUCAGCACCA